AUUGAACGCUGGCGGCAGGCCUAACACAUGCAAGUCGAACGAGUGGCGGAGGGGUGAGUAAUGCUUGGGAAUCUAGAAUAUGGCGGGGGAUAACUAGGGGAAACCGUAACUAAUACCGCGUUCCAUCAGAUGAGCCGAAGUGGGAUUAGCUAGUUGGUGGGGUAAAGGCUAACCAAGCCGACGAUCCCGAGCUGGUCUGAGAGGAUGACCAGCCACACUGGAACUGAGACACGGCCCAGACUCCUACGGGAGGCAGCAGUGGGGAAUAUUGGACAAUGGGCGAAAGCCUGAUCCAGCCAUGCCGCGUGUGUGAAGAAGGCCUUCGGAUUGUAAAGCACUUUCAGUUGGGAGGCGUUACCAACAGAAGAAGCACCGGCUAACUCCGUGCCAGCAGCCGCGGUAAUUC
rnacentral:rRNA from 1 species